rnacentral:snoRNA from 1 species
CUGCUCGCUGAUGCGAAACUUAAACUUUCGUUCUACUGAGCGAGCCUCACGGCUGUGCGGAAGCAGUUUAUUGGAGACCUGAACUGAGAGCAG